rnacentral:rRNA from 1 species
CAGUCGCCACGGUAAUACGAAGGGGGCUAGCGUUGUUCGGAAUCACUGGGCGUAAAGGGUGCGUAGGCGGAUUCUUAAGUCAGGGGUGAAAUCCCGAGGCUCAACCUCGGAACUGCCUUUGAUACUGGGGAUCUUGAGUCCGGAAGAGGUGAGUGGAACUGCGAGUGUAGAGGUGAAAUUCGUAGAUAUUCGCAAGAACACCGGUGGCGAAGGCGGCUCACUGGUCCGGAACUGACGCUGAGGCACGACAGCGUGGGGAGCAAACAGGAUUAGAUACCCCCGUAGUCCCUGUCUCUUAUAC